GAAUUUAGGAGAAAAUCAAGGGGAUGGGAAGUAGAGAGAGUGUUGGAGCGAAUAAGGAAUGUAAGCACUUGUGAGUUCGGUUUUGGGGAGUUUCGGGAUUGGUUUUGGGUGUUUUUCUCUUUGAUUCAUUUUUGUCACUUCUUUUAUUUUUAUUCUUAUUCUUCUCUGAUUGUUGAACACCAUCUAGUGCAAGGGUUAUUGGUCGUGUUUUGGUUUGUUUCAGGUUAGCUUUUGGAG
rnacentral:lncRNA from 1 species